GCGUCAACCUCACUGUGUAGUUAUAGUGUGUCACACGGGACUGCCGGUUUUAAGCCGGAGGAAGGCGGGAGUGACGUCAAGUCAGCAUGGCCUUUAUAUCCUGGGCUACACACACGCUACAAUGGUCUGUACAAUAGGUUGCCAAGCCGCGAGGCGGAGCCAAUCCAAAAAAGACAGGCCUCAGUUCAGAUUGUAGUCUGCAACCCGACUGCAUGAAGAUGGAGUUGCUAGUAACCGCAGGUCAGCUAUACUGCGGUGAAUACGUUCCCGGGUCUU
rnacentral:rRNA from 1 species